UGCCCCACAGUUCCCCGCCCGGGAACAAGGAGCUGGUAUCAGGCACACCCUAUUGAGCCCACGACACCUUGCUUAGCCACACCCUCAAGGGAACUCAGCAGUGAUAGACAUUAAGCCAUAAGUGAAAACUUGACUUAGUUAAAGCUAAGAGGGCCGGUAAAACUCGUGCCAGCCACCGCGGUUAUACGAGAGGCCCAAGUUGACAAACACCGGCGUAAAGCGUGGUUAAGUAAAAACUUACACUAAAGCCAAACAUCUUCCAGGCUGUUAUACGCAACCGAAGACAGGAAGUUCAACCACGAAAGUGGCUUUAUCUAGUCUGAACCCACGAAAGCUAAGGAACAAACUGGGAUUAGAUACCCCACUAUGCCUAGCCCUAAACAUUGAUAGUACUAUACACCCACUAUCCGCCCGGGAACUACGAGCAAUAGCUUAAAACCCAAAGGACUUGGCGGUGCUUUAGAUCCACCUAGAGGAGCCUGUUCUAGAACCGAUAACCCCCGUUCAACCUCACCCUUCCUUGUUUAACCCGCCUAUAUACCGCCGUCGUCAGCUUACCCUGUGAGGGACUAAUAGUAAGCAAAACUGGUACAGCCUAAAACGUCAGGUCGAGGUGUAGCGUAUGGAGGGGGAAGAAAUGGGCUACAUUCGCUAUUACAGCGAACACGAAUGAUGCACUGAAACGUUCAUCUGAAGGAGGAUUUAGCAGUAAGCAG
rnacentral:rRNA from 1 species